rnacentral:rRNA from 2 species
CAGGGGAACCUGGCCCUUAAUUCGAUGAUCCACGAACCUCUUACCUUUUCUAGUUUUGCUUAUCUUUGCAAGAAGUAAACAAAGAUCAGCUCGCAUACCGCCGUUUCGUAGCUUGUAUCGUGAGAGGACAUAAACAGGCGCCCUAGUGGCCCGUAUAAAAAUAAAUAAGGGUUUCUCUAAUAAUUCAGGUAAACGUGUGGCCUAUGGAAAGGGGGUGCUGGGUUACAA